CAGUCGCCACGGGAAUACGGAGGGUGCAAGCGUUAAUCGGAAUUACUGGGCGUAAAGCGCACGCAGGCGGUCUGACAAGUCAGAUGUGAAAUCCCCGGGCUUAACCUGGGAACUGCAUUUGAAACUGUCAGGCUGGAGUCUUGUAGAGGGGGGUGGAAUUCCAGGUGUAGCGGUGAAAUGCGUAGAGAUCUGGAGGAAUACCGGUGGCGAAGGCGGCCCCCUGGACAAAGACUGACGCUCAGGUGCGAAAGCGUGGGGAGCAAACAGGAUUAGAUACCCCUGUAGUCCCUGUCUCUUAUAC
rnacentral:rRNA from 1 species